rnacentral:rRNA from 1 species
CAAUAGCGUAUAUUAAAGUUGUUGCGGUUAAAAAGCUCGUAGUUGGAUUUCUGCCGAGGACGACCGGUCCGCCCUCCGGGUGAGUAUCUGGCUCGGCCUGGGCAUCUUCUUGGAGAACGUAGCUGCACUUGGCUGUGUGGUGCGGUAUUCAGGACUUUUACUUUGAGGAAAUUAGAGUGUUUCAAGCAGGCACACGCCUUGAAUACAUUAGCAUGGAACAAUAAGAUAGGACCUCGGUUCUAUUUUGUUGGUUUCUAGAUCUGAGGUAAUGAUUAAUAGGGAUAGUUGGGGGCAUUCGUAUUUAACUGUCAGAGGUGAAAUUCUUGGAUUUGUUAAAGACGGACUACCGCGAAAGCAUUUGCCAAGGAUGUUUUCAUUGA